rnacentral:snRNA from 9 species
AUAGCUACAUGGCGUCGGGAUAUUGUGAUCAUGCAGGCGGUUCCCCCGGGGUGCAGCUGCUCCAUUGCGCUGCGGAGUGGUUGACCCUUGCGAUUAUUUUUAUAUUUUAUAAGUUUCACUUCUACCGUGUGUGACUUGCACACU